GACACAGCUUGGGGCCGCACUUGUUUUGGAGAAGCUGCAAGCAACUUAUGCAAUAGCUGCAAUAUGUCAGAAUUAUUAUGGGAUGUUGGAGUGUUUUACUGUAUGUAUUAGGAAGUCGUAGGAGCACAUCUUGAGAACCAGCAAACUUCUUAGUAUCUCCAGCGAAUCUUUACUCUUGUAAGCCUCUCUGGUCUGCUCGAAGUCCACGCGGAUUCCCUCGCCGGUCCGUCCGGUGCCAUCACCGCCGACGUCAACCUGCGUGUGGGCUUGGCUCGCCGCUGCCGGCCGCGGUCGUCGGCUGGAGAGUGUCCGCCAGAGAAGCGCUUGGGCCCGGGCCCGCGCGGCGGCUGCUGCCGGUAACAUGAGGAGUGUCUGGGACGUGUAUGGAGUUGGACACGGUUCAGGUUGUACUGCACGGAGGAGAACCCACGCGUACGUGGCCUGGGAGUUCUUAUCACGCGUCAAAACUUGCUCAGCAGCGUUGGAGACCAUGAGAGGGGGCGAGACGGAAGCAGGAGAAGGAAAGAGCUGCACGACGAAUAAAAUUG